rnacentral:rRNA from 1 species
UACGUAGGUGGCAAGCGUUAUCCGGAUUUAUUGGGUUUAAAGGGAGCGUAGGCGGCUUAAUAAGUCAGUGGUUAAAGGUAGCAGCUUAACUGUUUUACAUGCCACUGAUACUGCUAAGCUUGAGUUGACAGAAGGCAGAUAGAAUUUCUGGUGUAGCGGUGAAAUGCUUAGAUACCAGAAGGAAUACCGAUUGCGAAGGCAGUCUGCUGCAGUCACACUGACGCUGAGGCUCGAAAGUGCGGGGAUCAAACAGG